rnacentral:lncRNA from 1 species
UCCAUUGUUUCAAUGUAGCAAGGAUAACUGUAAAACUAAGAUAUAACUGAGAAGCCCAAUUUCAAAGGCUGGGCCAAAAUGAAAGCAUUGUGGACAAAGAGAAAAGCUAGAAAAGCUAUUAAAUAGGGAAAAUUUGAAUAUCUACUGGACUUUAAUGAGGAAAAGUAAUGCUAAAUUCCAACUUAUGAGGACUGAAAUAGCUUAUGAACCCUCUUCUUCAGACAUGACUAUCCCAAAAGAUGAAGCAGGUAGAGGGGAUUAUGAGACCAAAUUCUGAGCAAAAGAUUUGAAAUGCUGAUUGUAUGGCCUGUGCCUCGCCCUGAACAAAAAACCAGGGAAACUGCGAUGAAGAUCACACUGCUCCUGCUUUUCAGGCACUUGGAUUCUGGCAGGCCAAAGUAAAAGCUGCCGCUAUCACACCAGUCGACCCAAGAAAAAGUGAAUGAAAACUUUGAUCAUCUCAUCUCCAUUGUGCUAUGUACUCCAUCCCAAAUCUCCUGAUGUGGAAUAUCAUCCUCACAUGUCUUCUUACAUAAUGGGCCAGGGUUAUGCGAUGAAAAGUCAGUAGAAGUAGUUACAAAGCGGUUUCACUUUGUAAAUGCUCUUUGGAUGGCAGGAACCAAGCAGCCAUGAAAAGAGGAGUUACACCUUUAAAGGAGUCAUUCCAUCAUGACUCUCAGGACUGGAACAUGGAAUACCUGAAUGGCCUCUUUGGCACAGAUAGGCCACCCUUGAAAGGUGUUCCAAGCUAGGAACUCACUACCACUGUUACAUCGAUGCAACUCUGUGAGAAGUUUUUAUCUGGUGAUGGAAAAUCUCAUCUCUUCAACACACUGACUACUACCAGUCUCAGAACCCUGUAAACAAGAUUCAUUCAUCUCAAAUUGGGUUAAAGCAGUCACCCUGCCUUACAUUAGUUUGGAAUAAGGAUGUGGGGAUGGUGGUAGAGGAGGGGAGUGGAUGAUGAUUUUUUUAUUGUUAUUUGAUUCUAAAGAAACUUCUAUACAUUUUGCAUUUAAAAUAAUUAUGUUUUUAACAAUGUUUGGAUUAAUUCAAAAUAGGAUAUUAUAUCCUAUUAUAUUAAAUAUACUAUUUAAUCAUCUUGUUGACCAAAUGCAACUUAAACAUGUAAAAUGGUAAAUAGCAUAAUAAUUGUCUUCUAAGCCUGCACUAUAAAGUAUUUCAGUGGCCUCAUUAUUAAAGGACCAAGGUGCCCAAAGAAACAAAAUUUAGUAAUCAUAAACAAGAGACAAACCUACUUCUUUUCCCCCAGAGUUCUGGCCACAUUGAAAUAAGGUGUUUGAAUGCUUAAUAAGAAUUAUUUUGGCCCACACAGUGGCUCAUGCCUGUAAUCUCAGCACUUUGGGAUGCCAAGGUGAGCAGAUCACUUGAGGCCAGGAGUUCAAGACCAGCGUGGCCAACGUGGUGAAACCCCAUCUCUACUAAAAAUACAAAAAUUAGCCCGGUGUGGUGGUACACGCCUAUAGUCCCAGCUACUCGGGAGACUGAGGUGGGAGAAUCACUUGAACCCGGGAGGCCAAGGCUGCAAUAUCGAGAUCACACCACUGCACUCUAGCCUGGGCAACAGAGUGAGAGUGAGACUCUUUCUCGGAAAAAAAAAAAAAGAAUUAUUUUGAACAAAGUGCUGUCACCUAAGUUAGCAAAACUCCAAGCAAGGUUUUUGGCUCUGUAAGGAAAGAAUUAGCCUACUCAUUUGGAAAUUUAGUGGUGUUUGUAAUGCAGAAAGUGACAGUGAGACUGGAAAGGGAUUGGCUUUGGGGCUUGUUCUGCUUUAUAAAUAAUAAUGAAUCUUCUCCAACAUGAAGUAAUGUGAAUUAAAAAAAAAAAAUCUGUCCUUAGAGUACAAAAUUACUUCAUAACCCAAUCUGCAUUUCUCCACUCCAAGCAUAUUUUCUGGGAGUUCUACUUAGAGAGUGAAAGCUGCUGUGUGUGUGAUAAUUAAUUUUAACAAACACUUGGCAAACUGAGCUGGACUAUGUAUAAGCUACCCUAGACUAAGCAUGAAUUUGAACUGCACUUUUUAUGGUGUUUUUUCCACAAUGACAUUAUUUAGGCAUUUAAAGUUAUCUGAACUGCAAUUUUUUGUUCUUUUUUUUUUAAUUUGACUUUUUAAAAAAAAUUAUUCCUGAAUAAAGAGGCAGUUUGUAAAAACUCGAGAACUGUGAGAGAUAAUUGGAUCUUUGUGUAGCAAAACUAGAAGGGUGUUGGGUAUCUGCUCUUUAUCAAAUGGACCACUUACUUUUCUUUUCUUUUUUGCCCUGUGUUCAGAAAACAAAUGUGCGUGUCUCCUGAUUUAUAAUGUAUAGUUCAUUAAUGGAGAAAGUGCUUGAGAAUUAGAUCCUAAUGUCAUUUCCCAUGCAGCAUCUUCAUUCUUUUCUAAAGCACUAUUUGGUAAAAACAACUGAUAGUCGUCAGAGGUGAUCAGCAAUGUUUGAGCACUAUUUCCUUUUUAUAUCCUGCACAUGGAAUAUGGACAGGCAAACAAAUCAUUUCCAAGUAAGAAAAUAAAUUUUGAGGGAGUUAAUACUAUAAUUUGAAAGUAAUAACCUCCUAUUUAUCCAUCUAGUUUGUUGUUCUGUACUAAAUUAUUUGUGCAUGUCUCUGUGUCUAUAAUUUAUGUGAAACUUUGCACAAUCUUAAAUAGGACAAAAUAGACAUUCUGUAAUUUCCCAGGCAAGCUAUUUAAGGUGACUAUCUCUCUACAUAUUUGAGAUGAAAAACAAUAACAUGACAAUCCAUCCCUUCUUAGGUUUUUGUAAGCAGACUUACUACCUGUGACUCAGUUUUGUUCUCACAGGGUACUAAUUAAUCCUUCACGAUAAUAACUUGUCAAAUUCCAUUACUUCUGUAAAGGCAAUACUUUAUAUUUGUUUGUAUUCAAAUUUUAAACUGAUGUUAAAUGCCGUGGGUGCAACUGCAGGUUAAAAAUAUGUGUUUGAAUCUCUUAUUCUUUUUGCUUGGCAAUGUAUGAAAUAACUGCUCUUUCUAGAAAUCUUGAUGAUGAAGUGGCCUGUUGUUUUGUCACCUAAAAAUGCAAUAAUGUUCAAAUUAAGCUUUUCUUUAUUAACAUCACUUGAUUGUGUGCCAUAUUUAGAGCUUAGUGAAAUUUUAAUCUACACAUUGAUUAAAUACAUUUUAUUUAUUCUUGUUUCUAAUGGGAACUUUCUUUGUUUCUAAUGGGAACUUUCUUAAAUUAAAUUACAUCCAACAUUUAUUAAAGACCUAAAACAUAGGCAAUUACUGUGCUUAGAGGAAAAGCGCAGACGAAAGUGAAUCAGACAAGUUCCCUGCCCUCCGGAAGCUUUCAGUCUAGUGAUGAGAAAGACGUAUACACAC